AUACGGAGGGUGCAAGCGUUAAUCGGAAUUACUGGGCGUAAAGAGUACGUAGGCGGUUGCUUAAGUCAGAUGUGAAAGCCCCGGGCUCAACCUGGGAACUGCAUUUGAAACUGAGUGACUAGAGUUUAAGAGAGGGGAGUAGAAUUCCGGGUGUAGCGGUGAAAUGCGUAGAGAUCCGGAGGAAUACCAGUGGCGAAGGCGGCUCCCUGGCUUAAAACUGACGCUGAGGUACGAAAGCGUGGGUAGCAAACAGGAUUAGAAACCCUAGUAGUCC
rnacentral:rRNA from 1 species